rnacentral:rRNA from 1 species
CGUGGAGACAGGUGGUGCAUGGCUGUCGUCAGCUCGUGUCGUGAGAUGUUGGGUUAAGUCCCGCAACGAGCGCAACCCUCACCUCUUGUUGCCAUCAGGUCAUGCUGGGCACUCUAGAGGAACUGCCCCGGUCAACGGGGAGGAAGGCGGGGAUGACGUCAAGUCAUCAUGCCCCUUACGUCCUGGGCUACACACGUGCUACAAUGGCCGGUACAAAGGGAUGCCACACCGCGAGGUAGAGCUGAACCCAAAAAGCCGGUCUAAGUUCAGAUUGGAGUCUGCAACUCGACUCCAUGAAGGAGGAAUCGCUAGUAAUCGCGUAUCAGCACGACGCGGUGAAUACGUUCCCGGGCCUUGUACACACCGCCCGUCACACCACGAAAGCCUGCUGUACUCGAAGUCGCUGAG